AAAGUGUUGUCGUAGGUUUCGCGGGACGAGACAUGAUGCUUCGAGGAGGAAACCUUCUGUUUCCUCCCAUUCCGGCGCUUGUUGUUGCUGCUGCUGCUACUACUGUUUCCUCCUAUCUUCGAGGAGGAAUCACCCACAGGAUUGGUCGACCCGUAGCAGAACCCGCCGGUCCCUAUAUCCAUCUCGCCGAACUCAGCCUUCCCCGAAUUCAUUGCCGAACUCCCGCGCUUAUGGCUGGAAGAUGAAGUCCCUCGAUUCCACCCGUUGCCGGCACCACUAGCCCCACCGCCGAAUUCCGCAUCUAUAUCGGACUGAAACAUCUCCACAAACAGUCGCUGUAGCUCCUCAAAGCUCUCAGGCCCGCUCUCCGUGGGUGUGUUCUUACUCAUCAUCUCAGCAAGCUCGCCUAGAAAAUCCUCCAUCCCGGCAUUUUCGUCAUCAUCGUUCUCGUUGUAGACUCCAAUGUCAUACAUCAGCCUCUUGUCGGGAUCCGAUAAAACGGAAUAAGCUUCCUGUAUUGUCUGGAACUUCUCCUUAGCCUCGUUCUUGCCGGAGCACCGAUCCGGAUGCCAUCUCAAGGCGAGCUUCUUGUAUGCAUUCCGCAGUUCCGAAUCGGAGCAGUCCUUGUCAAGCCCCAGAACGGCAUAGAAGUCGGUGGCGGCAGCGGCGGACAUUGAGAUCGAACUCGGUUGCAGUCGCCGGAGAUUUGGAAGAAGUUAAUUGCGCGUGGGAUGCGAUCAAUUUGAUGGCGUGAAAAGGAAGGAGAGGGAUCGAGAGGGAGCGAGACGGGUGGG
rnacentral:misc_RNA from 1 species